UUCAAAAAUGACAAAUUACAAUACAAAAUUUUACUCCAAGAGCAUCUCUAGACUAAGAAUCAAUCAAUAAUUGUGGAAAAAAGUGUACUCGUUAUAGAGAACCUCUUCUUGGCGGACUGGGUUUUUAUGACACUGCGGCGACGGAAUUAUGACGGCGGCAAUCGAUAUAUGGAUAGUUGGAUAUUGUUUCUUUGGCGACCAUUCCAGCCGGCCGGACUUGAUGCAACACCGCCACUCUAUCACUAAAUCAUGCCGUCCGGGUCCGGGUCCGGUUGAUUAUGUCGCAGGGCCGUGAUGAAUAACCAGCAAUCCGUAACCAAAACCGAAACGUCUUCGUCGGUCCUAACAAAAAAAAAAAAAGAAAUAAAGAAAAUACAGAAAAAGAAGAUAAGGCGCCGCCAAUACACACAGAUAUAAUCCCCAUUUGUCCAAACACCAAGAUCCUAACAUCUAAGUACACAAUAAUAUU